rnacentral:lncRNA from 1 species
AUGUCUGUCAUCUGUCUGUCGUCCAUCUGUCUGUCAUCUGUCUGUCGUCUAUCUGUCUGUCAUCUAUCAGUCGUCUGUCUGUCAUCCAUCUGUCUGUCAGUCAUCUGUCUGUCGUCCAUCUGUCUGUCGUCUGUCUGUCUGUCAUCUGUCUGUCGUCUAUCUGUCUGUCAUCUGUCUGUCUGUCGUCCAUCUGUCUGUCGUCUGUCUCUCUGUCAUCUGUCUGUCGUCUAUCUGUCUGUCAUCUGUCUGUCGUCUAUCUGUCUGUCAUCUGUCUGUCGUCUAUCUGUCUGUCAUCUGUUUGCCGUCCAUCUCUCUGUCGUCUGUCUGUCGUCCAUCUGUCUGUCAUCUGUCUGUCGUCUGUCUGUCGUCCAUCUGUCUGUCGUCCAUCCGUCUGUCUCUCCAUCUGUCUGUCAUCUCUCUGUAAUCUUACUGCCGUCUGUCUGUCGUCCCAUGUCUGUUGUCUGUCUCUCUGUCAUCUGUCUCUCCAUCUGUCUGUCAUCUGUCUGCCGUCUGUCUGUCGUCCCAUGUGUCUCGUCUGUCUGUCUGUCAUCUGUCUGUCUGUCAUCUGGCUAUUUGUCACCUAUCCGUCUGUCUCUCCAUCUGUCUCUCAUCUGUCUGUCAACUGUCUGUCUGUCUGUCAUCUGUCUGUCUGUCAUCUGUCUGUCAUCUGUCUGUCUGUCAUCUGUCUGUCGUCCAUCUGUCUAUUUGUCAUCUGUUUGUCUGUCUCUCCAUCUGUCUGUCUGUCAUCUGUCAGUCAUCUGUCUGUUGUCCAUCUGUCUAUUUGUCAUCUGUGUGUCUUGUCUCUCCAUUUGUCUGUUUGUCAUCUGUCUAUCUCUCCAUAUGUCUGUUUGUCAUCUGUCUAUCUGUCUCUCCAUUUGUCCGUCUUUCUUUUUGUCUUUCCAUCUGUCUAUCAUCCAUCUGUCUCUCUCUCCAUCUGUCUGUCUCUCCAUUUAUCUGUCUGUCAUCUGUCUGUCUGUCUCACUAUCUGUCAUCUGUCUCUCUGUCAUCUGUUUAUCUUUCUCUCUUUCCAUCUGUCAUCUCUCUCUCUCUGUCUGUCUCUCCAUCUUUCUCUCAUCUGUCUGUCUCUCAUCUGUCUGUCUGUAUCUCUGUCCUUCUGUCUAUCUGUCUUUCUGUCUCCAUCUGUUUCUCCAUGUGUCUGUCUGUCUGUGGAGAGACAGCACUCUGUUUUCCAUGAGAAUGCAGGAAUGCUGCUCUCUUUGCUUGUGA